rnacentral:rRNA from 1 species
UACGAAGGGGGCUAGCGUUGCUCGGAAUCACUGGCGUAAAGGGUGCGUAGGCGGGUUUUUAAGUCAGAGGUGAAAUCCUGGAGCUCAACUCCAGAACUGCCUUUGAUACUGAAAGUCUUGAGUAUGGGAGAGGUGAGUGGAACUGCGAGUGUAGAGGUGAAAUUCGUAGAUAUUCGCAAGAACACCAGUGGCGAAGGCGGCUCACUGGCCCAUUACUGACGCUGAGGCACGAAAGCGUGGGAGCAAACAGG